rnacentral:sRNA from 1 species
AUUUUAUGUACAAUGUAUUUUAUAUUCUGAAUUCAGGAGAAUGACACGUGUCCUAUAUGCAGAACUUCUGUCAACACUUCUGUAAAUACAACGGAUUCUGGACAUUUCCAAUUCGGAAACUUAGCUUAUCCAAUACAAAAUUCAAGGACCUUCGGAACAAGGACAGAGGCCUACGCAGAACCAGCCUAAUCCACAACGCCCUUUAGCUCAAGGACAACCUAAUCCACAUCGCCCUUCAGCCCAAGGACAGACCGAUCCACAACGCCUUUCAGCUCAAGGACAGACACCUAUCCAGACGCAGACGAAUCUCGAGAGACCUUUAACUCAAAACGACCCAUGUUCAAUUUGUUUAGAAGGAUACACUUCGACGAAUCAGAAAACUUACAAAAUGAUGAAAAUUCCUAGCUACGCUUUUAAAAAA